UGGCUCAGAAUGAACGUUGGCGGCGUGGAUUAGGCAUGCAAGUCGUGCGAGAAACCAAUUAGCUUGCUAAGAGGUGGACAGCGGCGAAAGGGAGAGUAACGCGUGGUUACGUGCCCCGAGGUCCAGGAUAGCGUUGGGAAACCGGCGGUAAUACUGGAUGAUAUCUUCGGAUCAAAGGUGUGAUUCCGCCUUGGGAUCGGACCGCGUACUAUUAGCUUGUUGGUGGGGUAAUGGCCUACCAAGGCUGUGAUGGUUACCGGGUGUGAGAGCAUGGCCCGGCUCACUGGGACUGAGACACCGCCCAGACACCUACGGGUGGCUGCAGUCGAGAAUCUUCGGCAAUGGACGAAAGUCUGACCGAGCGACGCCGCGUGCGGGAUGAAGGCCCUCGGGUUGUAAACCGCUGUCAGUUGGAAGGAAGGGCCUGUGCAGAGCAGGUCUUGACCGAUCUUCAGAGGAAGGACGGGCUAAGUUCGUGCCAGCAGCCGCGGUAAGACGAACCGUCCAAACGUUAUUCGGUAUCACUGGGCUUAAAGCGUGCGUAGGCGGCCUGGAAGGUGAGAUGUGAAAGCCCACGGCUCAACCGUGGAAUUGCGUUUCAAACCGCCAGGCUUGAGGAAGACAGGGGUGUUGGGAACUUAUGGUGGAGCGGUGAAAUGCGUUGAUAUCAUAGGGAACACCGGUGGCGAAGGCGCAACACUGGGUCUUUUCUGACGCUGAGGCACGAAAGCUAGGGUAGCGAACGGGAUUAGAUACCCCGGUAGUCCUAGCCGUAAACGAUGAGCACUGGGUUGAGGGGACUUCCACAUCCUCUCGGCCGUAGCGAAAGCGUUAAGUGCUCCGNCUGGGGAGUAUGGU
rnacentral:rRNA from 1 species